rnacentral:rRNA from 1 species
GUGCAGCAGCCGCGGUAAUACCGGCAGCCCGAGUGAUGGCCGAUAUUAUUGGGCCUAAAGCGUCCGUAGCUGGCCGAACAAGUCCGUCGGGAAAUCCACGUGCUUAACGCGUGGGCGACCGGCGGAAACUGUCCGGCUUGGGGCCGGAGGACCCGAGGGGUACGUCCGGGGUAGGAGUGAAAUCCCGUAAUCCUGGACGGACCGCCGGUGGCGAAAGCGCCUCGGGAAGACGGACCCGACAGUGAGGGACGAAAGCUGGGAUCUCGAACCGGAUUAGAAACCCCAGUAGUCC